rnacentral:misc_RNA from 1 species
AAUUAUUAGGGGCAUACCCAUUUCCCAAGACCCUUUCUCUAAUGCGUAGCAGCUUCAAAGGAAGAAUAUUUGCUCAAGAGAUGGGUAAUUUUUCAAGCGUGGAAGAGUUGUCCCUGGAUGGUUCCUCAUUGGAUGAAGAGUCUUUUAAGAGCCUUAGAGCAUUGCCCUCUCUUAAAUUUUUAUCUAUGCAACGCGUCAAUGCUGACCUACCUAGUCAAGGCUUGCCGAAUUUCAAAAAUUUGGAGCAUUUGGAUUUGAGAUCGUCUACUCUCCACAACAACUUCUUAAAAGACAUCGAAAAGAUGCCCUCUCUUAAGAUUUUAUUAUUGUCCGAUUGUCAACUAAACGGCACCAUUCCAGCAGCCAAAGGUAAGGUUCUUUUAACCCUCUUUUUGUCACACUCAUGGUUUAUUACAAAAAGGAAUUUUAUGAAUUUUUUUUAUACUCACUUGAAUAUUUGACAAAAUGAUAUCAAUUUUAAAGACAUUUGUUUUUAUGUUAAUAAUUAUAUUGAUGUAGUAGUAUGCAAUAAAUAAAAUAAUGUAUCGUAUUAUUUCCAAGGAAGC